rnacentral:lncRNA from 1 species
UCCACCCUGGCUUCCAGCUUCAAGAGGCGUAGGUCCUCCAAAGACACGCAGUACCAUCCCACUGAUAUCACGGGCCCGCUCAACCUCUCAGAUCCCUCGGUCAGCACCGUGGUGUGAGGCCCCCGGAGGCGCCCACCUGCCCAGUUAGCCCGGCCAAGGACACUGAUGGGUCCUGCUGCUCGGGAAGGCCUGAGGGAAGCCCACCCGCCCCAGAGACUGCCCACCCUGGGCCUCCCGUCCGUCCGCCCGCCCACCCCGCUGCCUGGCGGGCAGCCCCUGCUGGACCAAGGUGCGGACCGGAGCGGCUGAGGACGGGGCAGAGCUGAGUCGGCUGGGCAGGGCCGCAGGGCGCUCCGGCAGAGGCAGGGCCCUGGGGUCUCUGAGCAGUGGGGAGCGGGGGCUAACUGGCCCCAGGCGGAGGGGCUUGGAGCAGAGACGGCAGCCCCAUCCUUCCCGCAGCACCAGCCUGAGCCACAGUGGGGCCCAUGGCCCCAGCUGGCUGGGUCGCCCCUCCUCGGGCGCCUGCGCUCCUCUGCAGCCUGAGCUCCACCCUCCCCUCUUCUUGCGGCACCGCCCACCCACACCCCGUCUGCCCCUUGACCCCACACGCCGGGGCUGGCCCUGCCCUCCCCCACGGCCGUCCCUGACUUCCCAGCUGGCAGCGCCUCCCGCCGCCUCGGGCCGCCUCCUCCAGACUCGAGAGGGCUGAGCCCCUCCUCUCCUCGUCCGGCCUGCAGCCCAGAACGGGCCUCCCCGGGGGUCCCCGGACGCUGGCUCGGGACUGUCUUCAACCCUGCCCUGCACCUUGGGCACGGGAGAGCGCCACCCGCCCGCCCCCGCCCUCGCUCCGGGUGCGUGACCGGCCCGCCACCUUGUACAGAACCAGCACUCCCAGGGCCCGAGCGCGUGCCUUCCCCGUGCGGCCCGUGCGCAGCCGCGCUCUGCCCCUCCGUCCCCAGGGUGCAGGCGCGCACCGCCCAACCCCCACCUCCCGGUGUAUGCAGUGGUGAUGCCUAAAGGAAUGUCACGC